CGAUAUCCUUUAUUGUUUUUGAAACAAAGCUGACAAUUUUGAGCCAAUUUUUAACCUUAAAUAAUUGAAUAAUUCAAUCAACUCGUUAAUGUAAAAUAGAUGUUAAAUUUAAUGGAUUUUAUGUUUCAGUACAUUAAUUACAGUUUUAUUGAAAUUUGUCGUGUUGUCAUUUAAAUUAAUUGACGAAUUUAUCUCUUAAGCUUCUGAAUCAAAUUUUGGUAAAGAAGUCCAUUAAGAAAUCAAGAUUUAUCAAAAUUGUCAGGAUUGACCCAGGAAAAGAAGAGAUUGGCGAAAUCUAAAAGACUCUGACAAGAAAUAAUCUCAAUGUUUACCUUUUCGAGUUGAAUUCUGUCGGAUUAACCUCAAACAAAAGGACUUGAUAUGGUUUCAAUGAUGGACAAUAUUUAUGAUCCUUUGUCUUUUAAUCUGGCAAAUCUUGUUUCUCAUUUCGGCUCAACCUGUUCAUUUUUGUUAACCUUCACCUCAUCCAUCGCUGAUUUAAUGUCCAAACUAUCUUCUCUAGGUAACCAACAGAUCUGACCAGCUCUCACAGACCUACAAGAGCAACCUAAUUGUAUUCAAACACUGUGAUAUAAGGGGAACAGUUUAUCAAGCUCAUCAAUACCUAAACUAUGUUCAUUUAUGAGAUUCAAGGUUGAUUGUGAUAGGCCAAUAUACGAAGAUACAGAUGACAACAACAUAGCAACAAAGAAAUGAAUACUUCAACCAAUUAAGCUCAACAUAGCAAUGAACUUUAGAAGAAUCCUUUUUUUCAACAUUUCAAUUGUUUCCAUUGAUGGUAAAUUGACUAUUAAUAUUAGAAGUAAUACAAAGCAAACUCAAUUAGUUAUCCCAUCAAUAAUCAAAUUCAAUUGUAACUCUAAUUAGAGAAGCUCAAUUUAGCUUAAGUUCCUUUCAUCAAAUCAACACAUAAAUCACUUUUGAUGUAAAUUAGUUGAUCACUUGUAAGUUAAAAGACAAAGCAACGCCAGCAUCGAACAAAAAAACGCUCUUUUGAAUAAUUGAAACAAUUAAGGAUAAUUAUUAUUGACAAGAAUCACAAGGACAAUUUAUGUGAAGCAAAAAUGUAUUUGAUGUGAAAACAAGUAUUGCCAUUAAACAGAAGAAAAAAAAAGUUUAAAAAAUGCAUGAAAAUGCAAGCAAUUUGAAACUGAAUCAUGGCAGGAUAGUUAGGAUGAUGAUGAGAGACAAUUAAGUCAUUUAGCAAGCUGUUAAUGAGAGGUAAUAUAACCAACAACAAUUGAUUACAUGAUAAUAUGUUUAAAAAUGUAAUACAUAACAAUCAUUUCCAAAGUGAACCUGUAUUCAUUUGCUAACCAACAUUACUGUCUUUUUCUGGCUCUCACUAAAUUGUCCAUUUAUCAUGUAUAAAUAUAGUUAACUGUUCAAACUACUCAAUCGGUUGAAUCUUUUCAACUCAUUCUUUAUACAAUUGUUACCCAUUUCAAUCCAUUUUCAACUCUUUUUUCCCCAUUUAUUUUAAAGUAAAAACUAUUUUCUUUCUUAUGAA